rnacentral:lncRNA from 1 species
CCUUGCUCUAGCAACCUAUUACUGCUUGUAGAAGUGAAAAACUGCAAAUACCCUUAAAAGUCCACUAACAAAGGAUUCUUUAAACAAUUAAAAUAGACAAAACAACCAUUUAAAAUGUUUGUAAGACCUGGAGAAACAUGCACCAAAUGCCUCUUUGUGUAUAUCCGAAAAGUCUGCAUUUACAUAGAUAGCAGUGUGGCAAUGCUUUUUCUCAUGGGUUCAGUUUGUUGCCCCACCCAAGUGAACAGGUCCACCCUAGGUAGCCCAGGCUAAACCUGAUCCUACCUCAGCCUCCCAAAUGUACGGACUACUCCGCUCCAUUGUUCCGCCUCCCUUCCCUCCGUGGUUUUUGAGACAACAGUCUCACUACGUAGCCCAGGCUGGAUUUAGAAUUCACUGCAAUCCUCCUGCCUCAACCACGCCAGACUUUUUUUUUUUAAUCGCUUAGCUAUUUUUGAUAUAAUUGUGUACUGUUGGGAUGCUGCUUGCAUAACAAACCGGAUUUUAUUUAUUUAUUUUUUAAUGCAGUACUCUUAGGACGAGGCGACGGGAAGAACUAAUAGCCUGCGGAGGAAGAAGCGUUGCCUGAGCCAUUCCGGUGCAGGAAAGGCGGAGGGCUCCGAGCCUCGCCACCGGAAACACGCCCCCAUGCCGGGGGAUCGUGGGCCGCGAGCAGACGGAGGCCGUGAGCGCCGAGGGAGGGCCGGUUAGCCUUCCGGGGAAGAGCGACCCCGCUUCCCGCUCGCAGGAGCGCGGCCCGCGCCGUGUUUGCGCGGAGAUGUCUGCUGGGAUUAAAGGUGUGUACCACCACUGCCUGGCCUCUCUGGCUAACUAAUGUGGCAACCUUUGCACUCUGAUCUUCAGGACUGCACUCUCAAGAAAAAAAAUAGUGGGUACUUACCCAGUGGGCAAAGAUGCACAAGGACACAGUCUCUGUGGACCCUCCUUAGGACAGAGGAGAAUGGAGAAGGCUUCAGGGGUGAAUCUGAUGGAUUGUUUAUG